rnacentral:misc_RNA from 1 species
CUCAUCUUUUCCCCAUUCAGAGGGCUGUUCUAAUUCCGGCACUAGAAGGUAGAGAUCUCAUAGCUCGGGCAAAGACCGGGACUGGAAAGACUUUAGCCUUUGGUAUCCCAAUAAUUAAACGCCUUACUGAAGAUACUACACAAACAAGUCCACAGAGACGAACUGGUCGGCUUCCCAGAGUUUUGGUCCUAGCACCAACUCGGGA